UGUGAUGUGGCUUUUCCAGCCAAAGUGUGUAGCUCCCACCAAAUGACCUUUCCAAACUUCGUGGAUCUGGUACGAAGAUGCGGAAAGAUACUGAUAGGAUACGUCUGUGAGUAGCUGUGCACGGGAGUCCCUGAAGGGGCAUCCUGCUAUGCUUAAAGGGAACCCUCUGAGAAGCAAGAAGAGAGAUCCCAUUAUCAGCAGUAGCCUGGAGUCAAGAGCAGAAAGCCCGGUCUUUCUCCUGCGGAGCUGCUGGUGGCUUUGAACUGCGGAUCAUGUGGACCUCAGACCAACGCGUCACCCCUACACCACCUGGGCUCCUAUUUUCGAAACUAGGAAGGGUAAUGGUCCAUCAACAGGCAGCUAACUGACAAGAACCAAAUGGAAAGUAAGGUCGAGAUUUCGUAACAGCUACCUGAAUCGCAGCAAUUUCUGGAAGCUGCAAAGGGAGACGACUUCAAGCAAACUAUGUGAAAUGAAACACAACUAAGAAGGGAAACUAGAGACUGAGGAGGAAAUGCCAGCUUCUGUCGUGAUGGCCUGACUUCCUUUUUGAAGACUAAAAACUGUCUUUUUUUAAACAUGUGGUUUCUAAAUGUCUAACAACUAGAAAUAAGUCCAUGAAUCAUAGUACCACCAUACAAUGGAUUUUUAAGAGUCAAUGGAUUUACUUUUGAUAGGGAGAAAUUUAAUAGGGGACACUUCAAAAUAAGCCUUAACCCUGGAGGUUAAGAGUUCCGCUGCUAACUGAAGGGUUGGGGCUCAGACUUGCCAGAACUGUGAGGGACAAAGCUGGGGCAGUCAACGCUCAUCAGGAUUCAAACAACACAAAACUCACUUCCAUCAAAUCAAUGCUGCCU